GCUAACCUAUAUAACUGUGAUCUAAUAAUUCCCCAAAUGUUCCCGCUGAAACUUUUUCCCUAAAUCCUUUCCCUCCCUAAAUCUUUUCUGCCUCCAAAAAAUAACUAUGUCAAAAAAUAUCUCACUAAGUUAAGUUUAACCAAAUUAUUUCCAUACUUCUUCUUCCCUAAAACAAGAUUCUCGUCAUCUAGUUAAGCAGAUUAGGGUAGAUUUUGUGAAAAUUACUGAUGGAGAUGCUUAAUUUCUUCUAGUUGUUCUUCUCAAAAGUAAAAACCAUCCUUAUUUAGGUUUCAAUUGGGAAGUUCGUUUGCUUAGAGUUACGACUGCUAAAAAUUUGUAAGUUUUAUAUGAACUUUUUGCUUUCCGUUUAAUAACUUCUUUCCAUUCAUUGUUAAAAAAACUUCUGACCAGAAACCUUGGCCAAACUUUGUAGUCUUGUUCUUUCUUCUCUAUAAAUAUGGUUAUUGCAUCUGGUGCCCAGAUUAGUUAUGACAAGUUUAUGUCAUUUAUCUUUAAAACUUUUACCUAUGUAUAAGCAAACAGAUAGGUCGCGAAAACGAGUAUGUGGCAGCAAAUAAUCGUUGACCUUUGAAAUAUCUUUUACAAUUUGUUCAACUUUUACUAAAUUUAUCAUCCUGAAUACCUAGUAUUUAAACUUCAACAUAGAGUAUUAGCAUAGUCUAGAUUCUGGAUUUAUCUAGUAUAUCGAUGUCGUGAUGAUAUUUGUGAAGUUAAAAAAUUGCCCAAAAAAGAAAAGAGAGAAAAAUAAAGAAAUUAUCAUGAGACAAGAAUCAGGGGCACAAAUGAAUUGUGAAAAUCAAUAAAUGAGCUCAAUUAUGAGAGCUCUAGUGCUACUGUUGUACUUUAAAAAGAAUAAAAGUGUUCUUAAAAUGUGAUUUAAAAUUGAUGAUAGACCCUUGUGGUCCGGCCCUUCCCGCCCAUAGCGAGAGCUUAGUGAACCGGGCUGCUCUAUUUUUAUGCUUGACAAAUUGAGAUUCUCUUACACUAUAAUCAAUCGAGUUUUCCAAUUAAACCUCCUCAGUUAUCAGUGGCCUUGGUGCAUGUGUAAUGCUUCUAAAUAUAUGGAAUAUUAAAUGUAUUUGUCUUGGUUGUUCAGGUCAUUAUCAUCGUUUCUUUUCUCAAUACAUGCUUAUUUGUUAUUUUUUGGCCACAGAUGAAGUCAACGAUAAUUGAACUGUCCAAUUGGCAGCAACAGUUAUCUAGCUUCUGAUUGGUAAGCCUUUUCUUACUUGCAAGACCAUGGUCUCGUUGGUUGUCGCCUUUAUUUUGUUUGGCCCCUCCGACUCUACAAUCAAAGCUUUUUAGUUAUCAUGUUUCUAGUAUAUUAAAUCUCAAUAGAAACUCUUAAUAUGAUAAUGCAGAAUUACAUAAAAUAUCAUUAUAAUAUGUCGCGGUGCUGGCAAUUGGAAUGUGUAUUUGAUGUCUCUAUUGUGCUCGUCCGUUUGUAGAUUGAUGCAGAUAUGGAUACUUGUUGCAGAUUUUUGAAUCAUGAAGCUGAUUUUGAUUGUUGAUAAGUUAAUGACUUAAUUCCAUUUAUGACCUCAAGAAAACUGAAUG
rnacentral:lncRNA from 1 species